CCUACGGGCGGCAGCAGUGGGGAAUUUUGCGCAAUGGGGGAAACCCUGACGCAGCAACGCCGCGUGCGGGACGAAGGCCCUCGGGCUGUAAACCGCUUUCAGCAGGGAAGACGUCGACGGUACCUGCAGAAGAAGCUCCGGCUAACUCCGUGCCAGCAGCCGCGGUAAUACGGAGGAUGCGAGCGUUAUCCGGAUUUAUUGGGUUUAAAGGGUGCGCAGGCGGAGGCACAAGUCAGCGGUAAAAUCGCGGGGCUCAACCCCGCUCCGCCGUUGAAACUGUGUCCCUUGAGUGCGCGAAGGGUAGGCGGAAUGCGUGGUGUAGCGGUGAAAUGCAUAGAGAUCACGCAGAACUCCGAUCGCGAAGGCAGCCUACCGGCGCGCAACUGACGCUCAUGCACGAAAGCGUGGGUAUCGAACAGGAUUAGAUACCCGUGUAGUC
rnacentral:rRNA from 1 species